rnacentral:rRNA from 1 species
GACGAACGCUGGCGGCGUGCUUAACACAUGCAAGUCGAACGAUGAACUGGAGCUUGCUCCAGGGAUUAGUGGCGAACGGGUGAGUAACACGUGAGUAACCUGCCCUUGACUCUGGGAUAAGCGCUAGAGAUGGCGUCUAAUACCGGAUACGAGCUUCAGCCGCAUGGCUAGGAGUUGGAAAGAAUUUUGGUCAAGGAUGGACUCGCGGCCUAUCAGCUAGUUGGUGAGGUAAUGGCUCACCAAGGCGACGACGGGUAGCCGGCCUGAGAGGGUGAUCGGCCACACUGGGACUGAGACACGGCCCAGACUCCUACGGGAGGCAGCAGUGGGGAAUAUUGCACAAUGGGCGAAAGCCUGAUGCAGCAACGCCGCGUGAGGGAUGACGGCCUUCGGGUUGUAAACCUCUUUUAGUANGGAAGAAGCGAAAGUGACGGUACCUGCAGAAAAAGCACCGGCUAACUACGUGCCAGCAGCCGCGGUAAUACGUAGGGUGCAAGCGUUGUCCGGAAUUAUUGGGCGUAAGAGCUCGUANGCGGCUUGUCGCGUCUGCUGUGAAAUCUGGGGGCUCAACCCCCAGCCUGCAGUGGGUACGGGCAGACUAGAGUGCGGUAGGGGAGAUUGGAAUUCCUGGUGUAGCGGUGGAAUGCGCAGAUAUCAGGAGGAACACCGAUGGCGAAGGCAGAUCUCUGGGCCGUAACUGACGCUGAGGAGCGAAAGCAUGGGGAGCGAACAGGAUUAGAUACCCUGGUAGUCCAUGCCGUAAACGUUGGGAACUAGAUGUGGGGGCCAUUCCACGGUCUCCGUGUCGCAGCUAACGCAUUAAGUUCCCCGCCUGGGGAGUACGGCCGCAAGGCUAAAACUCAAAGGAAUUGACGGGGGCCCGCACAAGCGGCGGAGCAUGCGGAUUAAUUCGAUGCAACGCGAAGAACCUUACCAAGGCUUGACAUAUACCGGAAACGUCCAGAGAUGGUCGCCCCGCAAGGUCGGUAUACAGGUGGUGCAUGGUUGUCGUCAGCUCGUGUCGUGAGAUGUUGGGUUAAGUCCCGCAACGAGCGCAACCCUCGUUCUAUGUUGCCAGCACGUUAUGGUGGGAACUCAUAGGAGACUGCCGGGGUCAACUCGGAGGAAGGUGGGGAUGACGUCAAAUCAUUAUGCCCCUUAUGUCUUGGGCUUCACGCAUGCUACAAUGGCCGGUACAAAGGGCUGCGAUACCGUAAGGUGGAGCGAAUCCCAAAAAGCCGGUCUCAGUUCGGAUUGAGGUCUGCAACUCGACCUCAUGAAGUCGGAGUCGCUAGUAAUCGCAGAUCAGCAACGCUGCGGUGAAUACGUUCCCGGGCCU